CGCCGCGUGAGUGAAGAAGGUCUUCGGAUCGUAAAACUCUGUUGUUAGAGAAGAACACGAGUGAGAGUAACUGUUCAUUCGAUGACGGUAUCUAACCAGCAAGUCACGGCUAACUACGUGCCAGCAGCCGCGGUAAUACGUAGGUGGCAAGCGUUGUCCGGAUUUAUUGGGCGUAAAGGGAACGCAGGCGGUCUUUUAAGUCUGAUGUGAAAGCCUUCGGCUUAACCGGAGUAGUGCAUUGGAAACUGGAAGACUUGAGUGCAGAAGAGGAGAGUGGAACUCCAUGUGUAGCGGUGAAAUGCGUAGAUAUAUGGAAGAACACCAGUGGCGAAAGCGGCUCUCUGGUCUGUAACUGACGCUGAGGUUCGAAAGCGUGGGUAGCAAACAGGAUUAGAUACCCUGGUAGUCCACGCCGUAAACGAUGAAUGCUAGGUGUUGGAGGGUUUCCGCCCUUCAGUGCCGCAGCUAACGCA
rnacentral:rRNA from 1 species